CUCUCAGACUUGAGGCCCCCAGGGGAACGUGCCAUCACAGCGCAAAGUCCUCUAUGCCUUGCCUUUAGAGUCUCCAGCGUCAUUGCUGUGUGAGGUCUGCUACUUCAUGGGAACGUGCUGUUGCAGCG